rnacentral:rRNA from 1 species
GCCGUUACGAUGUCGAUUUGGAGGUUGUGCCCUUGAGGCGUGGCUUCCGAAGCUAACGCGUUAAAUCGACCGCCUGGGGAGUACGGCCGCAAGGUUAAAACUCAAAUGAAUUGACGGGGGCCCGCACAAGCGGUGGAGCAUGUGGUUUAAUUCGAUGCAACGCGAAGAACCUUACCUACUCUUGACAUCCAGCGAAUCCUGUAGAGAUACGGGAGUGCCUUCGGGAACGCUGAGACAGGUGCUGCAUGGCUGUCGUCAGCUCGUGUUGUGAAAUGUUGGGUUAAGUCCCGCAACGAGCGCAACCCUUAUCCUUUGUUGCCAGCGGUUCGGCCGGGAACUCAAAGGAGACUGCCAGUGAUAAACUGGAGGAAGGUGGGGAUGACGUCAAGUCAUCAUGGCCCUUACGAGUAGGGCUACACACGUGCUACAAUGGCGUAUACAAAGAGAAGCGAACUCGCGAGAGCAAGCGGACCUCAUAAAGUACGUCGUAGUCCGGAUUGGAGUCUGCAACUCGACUCCAUGAAGUCGGAAUCGCUAGUAAUCGUGGAUCAGAAUGCCACGGUGAAUACGUUCCCGGGCCUUGUACACACCGCCCGUCACACCAUGGGAGUGGGUUGCAAAAGAAGUAGGUAGCUUAACC